CACCGGACAUCCGGCAGAUUCACGGAGGCUGUAAUCAGCCGAUUGGGCGCAGCUGUGCCUAGUUGAAGAGAUCGCCGGGCAAUUGGAUGAUUAUAGUACAGAGAGGAGUAUAUAAAGCACAGUUAGAACACAGUUAGGAGUGCUUAGUGUGUGCUGGGAAACGGAGCUGUGCUCAUUGUUGGACGUGGUGGCUGUCUGUGGUUCUCUCUCUCUCUCUCGUUGCAGUCUUGAUUGUGGAUCUGCUGGAGUAAACAGGAAAAUCCUAUGGGUAAAAAGGAACUUGUUCUAACCAAUAUUGAAGGAGUAAAGCAGGAAGAAAAUUUACCUUCUGGUACAACGUAAACAAAGGCUAUUCGCCGUGAGUAUACCCUUUUUGUGUGGAGUAACUGGCAAAAGUUAACUUGUGUAACUAUUGGAAACCUCCAGGAGAAGGAGGGCGGCCCUACCCCUAUAAGAGUGUGGUGGGCGAGCCGUGAGAAGUCCAACUUCAAACAGCCACCGCAACGAGACUUAUUGUGGUCGUAUUUCCCAUCGCCUUAUCGUAGCCCAAGCGCAGUGGAGGACACCGGGCGCUUCCCUUGUUGUGGUGCACUUAUAGUGUGGUGAGUGAGACUGUGUAAUAAAUCUUUUUUCACGUUUGGAGUGGUGCUGUGUAUAUUGCUGUGGGUUGCUGUGUGUCUUGUAGACGAAGCCCCGCAUCAUCCAAUUUCUUCCACUGGGCAGAGGACGGAGAGGCCAACGACUACAGAAAUCACUGUUACUAUAAGUAGUGUGCUGUUUGGAGUGCGAAGGGACGCAGACUAAGAGCUGUCCGUGACCGUGAGUAAACCAUUGGAAAACAUUUCGUGGUGUGAACUUACCUGUGUCUGUUUUCGUCGCAGAGUUAGAGGCGAAAGGGUCCGCCGCCCCGUGGUCUCUACGAAAAGGGCGCCCCCGUCUAGGAAUCGAUCGGCCUAUGGGCAUUGGAGAUAGGGCAGCGCUCGACCCGGUGAGGUGGUGUGUGACCUUCGCCCCUCUGCUGACCUACGGAGGAGAACCAUAACUACCCAGAAAGCUGUAGACAGCAGAGCCGCGGCCACCUGUGGAGAGAGAGAGAACGAGAGUGAAUCAUUGAAGAGCAAACUGUGAACGUGAUACCUACCCAGAAAGCUGUAAACAGCAGAGCCGGUGAGAAAUACUUGAAGUCGCAGUAACAGUGUCUUUGUGUCCUAGCGACCACCUGUGGAGAGAGAGAGAACGAGAGUGAAUCAUUGAAGAGCAAACUGUGAACGUGAUACUUACCCAGAAAGCUGUAAACAGCAGAGCCGCGGCCACCUGUGGAGAGAGAGAGAACGAGAGUGAAUCAUUGAAGAGCAAACUGUGAACGUGAUACCUACCCAGAAAGCUGUAAACAGCAGAGCCGCGGCCACCUGUGGAGAGAGAGAGAACGAGAGUGAAUCAUUGAAGCGCAAACUGUGAACGUGAUACCUACCCAGAAAGCUGUAAACAGCAGAGCCGGUGAGAAAUACUCGAAGUUUCAGUAACAGUGUCUUUGGGUCCUAGCGGCCACCUGUGGAGAGAGAACAGGACGAGAGUGAAUCAUCGAAGAGCAAACUGUGAACGUGAUACCUACCCAGAGAGCUGUAAGCAGCAGAACCGGUGAGCAAUACCCGAAGUCCAAGUAACAGUGUCAUUUGUGUCCUAGUGGCCGCCUGUGGAGAGCAAGGAGAAACAAUUGGAGAACAGACUGUGUAACGUGAUACCUACCCAGAGAGCUGCAAGCAGCAGAGCCGGUGAGAAACACCUCAAGUGCAAACUAACAGUGCUUUUGUGUCGCAGUGACUAUCUGUGGGGCACAAGGCGAACGUGGGCGGACGUACGACAGGGAACGUAAGGGCACGUGGGGCGAGGACCCCCUGCCGACCCGAGGAAAGAUACACCGACAGUGGAGAUCCUCCUUACCAGUCACACCAAAAUUAUUCUGCCUCCAGGACGGAAGAAGGAGGGCGUCACGGUUAGCAGGGUCCAGGCCGGAGCCUGACGUUUCCCUUUCUCCCCCGGCUUAUGGUGGUUGGCACCCCUGUUGCCCUUGGCCUGUCUGCCCGUGGCUGCAGUCUCCCUGGAGGGAGACGAAGAGACCUAUUAGUUUUAAAUUCCCCUUUUCCCCCAAAUUCCCAGUUC